GUGGGGAAUCUUGCGCAAUGGGCGAAAGCCUGACGCAGCCAUGCCGCGUGAAUGAUGAAGGUCUUAGGAUUGUAAAAUUCUUUCACCGGGGACGAUAAUGACGGUACCCGGAGAAGAAGCUCCGGCUAACUUCGUGCCAGCAGCCGCGGUAAUACGAAGGGGGCUAGCGUUGCUCGGAAUUACUGGGCGUAAAGGGCGCGUAGGCGGACAGCUUAGUCAGAGGUGAAAGCCCAGGGCUCAACCUUGGAAUUGCCUUUGAUACUGGCUGUCUUGAGUUUGGGAGAGGUGAGUGGAACUCCGAGUGUAGAGGUGAAAUUCGUAGAUAUUCGGAAGAACACCAGUGGCGAAGGCGACUCACUGGCCCAAUACUGACGCUGAGGCGCGAAAGCGUGGGGGGCAAACAGGAUUAGAUACCCCUGUAGUCC
rnacentral:rRNA from 1 species